UCCCACUCCAUUCUACGCAUUUCACUUGCCACCCUCUCAAAACACAAGGUGUACAUGAGAGAUUACCUGAGCAGGAUGAGGAGAAUGAGGAAGAUGAGACUGUAGAUGUGGAGCAAACAGAAAAUCUCACAAAAUAACUACUAGAUAUUAGACUGGAAAUGCAACGAUACCAGCAAGACCGAAAACAGCUACAGACAUGGCGUAAGCUCCAAAAGGUCUUGACUAACUGGCUCGAAACAACAGGCAUUGAGGGAGAAACUGAGGAACGAGAAAG